UUCUACCAUCGUGCAUCUUUU
rnacentral:piRNA from 1 species